UACGUAGGGGCAAGCGUUGUCCGGAAUUAUUGGGCGUAAAGCGCUCGCAGGUGGUUCGUUGCGUCGUGCGUGAAAGACCCCGGCUCAACUGGGGGAUGUCGUGCGAUACGGGCGGACUGGAGGCCAGUAGGGGGAUGCGGAAUUCCGGGUGUAGUGGUGGAAUGCGUAGAGAUCCGGAGGAACACCAGCGGCGAAGGCGGCAUCCUGGACUGGUCCUGACACUCAGGAGCGAAAGCGUGGGGAGCGAGUCCGG
rnacentral:rRNA from 1 species